rnacentral:tRNA from 1 species
GCCCGCAUAGCUCAGUGGGAGAGCGCUACCUCGACACGGUAGAGGCCGAGGCUCGUUUCCUCGUGCGGGUACCA